rnacentral:rRNA from 1 species
AACGAACGCUGGCUGCAGGCUUAACACAUGCAAGUCGAGCGCCCCGCAAGGGGAGCGGCAGACGGGUGAGUAACGCGUGGGAACGUACCUUUUGGUUCGGAACAACUCCGGGAAACUGGAGCUAAUACCGGAUAAGCCCUAACGGGGAAAGAUUUAUCGCCGAAAGAUCGGCCCGCGUCUGAUUAGCUAGUUGGUGAGGUAACGGCUCACCAAGGCGACGAUCAGUAGCUGGUCUGAGAGGAUGAUCAGCCACACUGGGACUGAGACACGGCCCAGACUCCUACGGGAGGCAGCAGUGGGGAAUAUUGGACAAUGGGCGCAAGCCUGAUCCAGCCAUGCCGCGUGAGUGAUGAAGGCCUUAGGGUUGUAAAGCUCUUUUGUCCGGGAAGAUAAUGACUGUACCGGAAGAAUAAGCCCCGGCUAACUUCGUG